rnacentral:rRNA from 1 species
GACGAACGCUGGCGGCGUGCUUAACACAUGCAAGUCGAACGGAAAGGCCCUGCUUUUGUGGGGUGCUCGAGUGGCGAACAGGUGAGUAACACGUGAGUAACCUGCCCUUGACUUUGGGAUAACUUCAGGAAACUGGGGCUAAUACCGGAUAGGAGCUCCUGCUGCAUGGUGGGGGUUGGAAAGUUUCGGCGGUUGGGGAUGGACUCGCGGCUUAUCAGCUUGUUGGUGGGGUAGUGGCUUACCAAGGCUUUGACGGGUAGCCGGCCUGAGAGGGUGACCGGCCACAUUGGGACUGAGAUACGGCCCAGACUCCUACGGGAGGCAGCAGUGGGGAAUAUUGCACAAUGGGCGGAAGCCUGAUGCAGCAACGCCGCGUGCGGGAUGACGGCCUUCGGGUUGUAAACCGCUUACGCCUGUGACGAAGCGUGAGUGACGGUAAUGGGUAAAGAAGCACCGGCUAACUACGUG